rnacentral:rRNA from 1 species
GACGGAGGGGGCAAGCGUUGUCCGGAGUUACUGGGCGUAAAGCGCACGUAGGCGGCCUUGUGCGUCGGUGCUAAAAGCGCCGGGCUUAACCCGGCGAGGCGUGCCGAUACGACGAGGCUCGAGGCAGGCAGAGGGUGGCGGAAUUCCGGGUGUAGUGGUGAAAUGCGUAGAGAUCCGGAGGAACGCCGGUGGUGAAGACGGCCACCUGGGCCUGACCUGACGCUGAGGUGCGAAAGCGUGGGGAGCGAACCGG